GAUGAACGCUAGCGGCAGGCUUAACACAUGCAAGUCGAGCGGGGGAAGGUAGCUUGCUACCGGUCCUAGCGGCGGACGGGUGAGUAGUGCUUAGGAAUCUGCCUAUUAGUGGGGGACAACAUCUCGAAAGGGAUGCUAAUACCGCAUACGGCCUACGGGAGAAAGCAGGGGAUCUUCGGACCUUGCGCUAAUAGAUGAGCCUAAGUCGGAUUAGCUAGUUGGUGGGGUAAAGGCCUACCAAGGCGACGAUCUGUAGCGGGUCUGAGAGGAUGAUCCGCCACACUGGGACUGAGACACGGCCCAGACUCCUACGGGAGGCAGCAGUGGGGAAUAUUGGACAAUGGGGGGAACCCUGAUCCAGCCAUGCCGCGUGUGUGAAGAAGGCCUUAUGGUUGUAAAGCACUUUAAGCGAGGAGGAGGCUACUUUAGUUAAUACCUAGAGAUAGUGGACGUUACUCGCAGAAUAAGCACCGGCUAACUCUGUGCCAGCCGCCGCCGUAACAC
rnacentral:rRNA from 1 species